UUGAGUGGCGGACGGGUGAGUAACGCGUGAGAAUCUGCCUUGGGGUCGGGGACAACCACUGGAAACGGUGGCUAAUACCGGAUAAGCCUUUGGGUAAAAAAUUUAUUGCCCCAAGAGGAGCUCGCGUCUGAUUAGCUAGUUGGUGAGGUAAGAGCUCACCAAGGCAGCGAUCAGUAGCUGGUCUGAGAGGACGAUCAGCCACACUGGGACUGAGACACGGCCCAGACUCCUACGGGAGGCAGCAGUGGGGAAUUUUCCGCAAUGGGCGAAAGCCUGACGGAGCAAGACCGCGUGAGGGAGGAAGGCUCUUGGGUUGUAAACCUCUUUUCUCAGGGAAGAAGCUCUGACGGUACCUGAGGAAUCAGCCUCGGCUAACUCCGUGCCAGCAGCCGCGGUAAUACGGAGGAGGCAAGCGUUAUCCGGAAUUAUUGGGCGUAAAGCGUCCGCAGGUGGCGAUUCAAGUCUGCUGUCAAAGCACGGGGCUUAACUCCGUUAAGGCAGUGGAAACUGAAUAGCUAGAGUGCCGUAGGGGUAGAGGGAAUUCCCGGUGUAGCGGUGAAAUGCGUAGAGAUCGGGAAGAACAUCGGUGGCGAAAGCGCUCUACUGGACGGCAACUGACACUCAGGGACGAAAGCUAGGGGAGCGAAUGGGAUUAGAUACCCCAGUAGUCCUAGCUGUAAACGAUGGAUACUAGGUGUAGCUUGUAUCGACCCGAGCUGUGCCGAGGCUAACGCGUUAAGUAUCCCCGCCUGGGGAGUACCGCACGCAAGUGUGAAAACUCAAAGGAAUUGACGGGGGUCCCGCACAAAGCCGGUGAAGUAUGUGGGUUAAUUCGAUGCAACGCGAAGAACCUUACCAGGGCUUGACAUGUCCGGAAUCCCGGUGAAAGCUGGGAGUGCCUUCGG
rnacentral:rRNA from 1 species